rnacentral:rRNA from 1 species
CGCUGGCGGCGUGCCUAAUACAUGCAAGUCAACGGCUUUCUAUGGAAGCUUGCUUCCACUGAGAAGAUAGUGGCGAACGGGUGAGUAACACGUGGGUAACCUGCCCAUAAGAGGGGGGAUAACAUCCGGAAACGGGUGCUAAUACCGCAUAGUUUCUUGAUCGCAUGAUCGGGAAAGGAAAGACGGCCUUUGUGCUGUCGCUUAUGGAUGGACCCGCGGCGUAUUAGUUAGUUGGUGAGGUAACGGCUCACCAAGACGAUGAUACGUAGCCGACCUGAGAGGGUGAUCGGCCACAUUGGGACUGAGACACGGCCCAAACUCCUACGGGAGGCAGCAGUAGGGAAUCUUCCGCAAUGGACGAAAGUCUGACGGAGCAACGCCGCGUGAGUGAAGAAAGGGUUUUCGGAUCGUAAAACUCUGUUGUCAGAGAAGAACAAGUUGGAGAGUAACUGCUCCAGCCUUGACGGUAUCUGACCAGAAAGCCACGGCUAACUACGUGCCAGCCGCAGC